UGAGGAAUAUUGGUCAAUGGGCGAGAGCCUGAACCAGCCAAGUAGCGUGCAGGAUGACAGCCCUAUGGGUUGUAAACUGCUUUUAUAUGGGAAUAAAGUGAGGGACGUGUCCCUUAUUGCAUGUACCAUACGAAUAAGGACCGGCUAAUUCCGUGCCAGCAGCCGCGGUAAUACGGAAGGUCCGGGCGUUAUCCGGAUUUAUUGGGUUUAAAGGGAGCGUAGGCUGUCUAUUAAGCGUGUUGUGAAAUUUACCGGCUCAACCGGUGGCUUGCAGCGCGAACUGGUCGACUUGAGUAUGCAGGAAGUAGGCGGAAUUCAUGGUGUAGCGGUGAAAUGCUUAGAUAUCAUGACGAACUCCGAUUGCGCAGGCAGCUUACUGUAGCAUAACUGACGCUGAUGCUCGAAAGUGCGGGUAUCAAACAGG
rnacentral:rRNA from 1 species